rnacentral:ncRNA from 1 species
AUUAUAUAAUUAGGGAAAAAGCUUAGUUAUUGUCAGAAUGAACUUCUGGCUAUUAAACCAUCAAAUUGCGGGAAGUCCCUAAAGCAAUUUCAACCAAGCAGACGUGGUAACACAGUUUGUGGCACAGGCAAUGACUUGUGGUAAGGUAAAAUCGAUAUUGAUUAUCUAUAUGAUUGCUACUUUCCCCCUAAAAACGAUUUAUUGUUCAUUGGAAGGUGAGCAGGAAAUACAGAUAAAUGGGUAAUCCGCAGCCAAGCUCCCAUACUAACGAGUAUGGGUGUGCAGUUCAUCGACUAGAUGUUGGUUGGCGCAAGCUUAAGAUAUAGUCAAGCCCCAUUCGAAAGAAUGCA